rnacentral:misc_RNA from 1 species
GAAAUGCGAUACGUAGUGCGAAUUGCAGGAUGUAUGCGAGUCAUCGAAUCUUUGAACGCAUAUUGCGCUCGAGGCUUCGGCCAAGAGCAUGUCUGCCUGAGCGUCACUGAUACCUAUCGACUUCCAUCUUUUUGGAGGUCGGACCUGACCUUUUCCCAGGUGCGUCUUCGGACGUCCGUCUGGGUGGGUUGAAGUGCAGAGGCGCGGGCGCUUUCUCCCGCGGAUUCCAGUCUCACGACUGGAACUCCAUGUAGCGUGGUCAGCAGAUUUCUGCUUUCGAUCGCUGCGACGGUGGAUGCGCUUCGCUGCCGAUAACCAACUUUUAUUUAUCUUAUGACCUCAGAUCAGGCAAGAGUACCCGCUGAACUUAA